AUGAACGCUGGCGGCGUGCCUAAUACAUGCCAGUCGAGCGAACGGACGAGAAGCUUGCUUCUCUGAUGUUAGCGGCGGACGGGUGAGUAACACGUGGAUAACCUACCUAUAAGACUGGGAUAACUUCGGGAAACCGGAGCUAAUACCGGAUAAUAUUUUGAACCGCAUGGUUCAAAAGUGAAAGACGGUCUUGCUGUCACUUAUAGAUGGAUCCGCGCUGCAUUAGCUAGUUGGUAAGGUAACGGCUUACCAAGGCAACGAUGCAUAGCCGACCUGAGAGGGUGAUCGGCCACACUGGAACUGAGACACGGUCCAGACUCCUACGGGAGGCAGCAGUAGGGAAUCUUCCGCAAUGGGCGAAAGCCUGACGGAUCAACGCCGCGUGAGUGAUGAAGGUCUUCGGAUCGUAAAACUCUGUUAUUAGGGAAGAACAUAUGUGUAAGUAACUGUGCACAUCUUGACGGUACCUAAUCAGAAAGCCACGGCUAACUACGUG
rnacentral:rRNA from 1 species